rnacentral:rRNA from 1 species
GAUGAACGCUGGCGGCGUGCCUAAUACAUGCAAGUCGAGCGAACAGACGAGGAGCUUGCUCCUUUGCCGUUAGCGGCGGACGGGUGAGUAACGCGUGGAUAACCUACUUAUAUUACUGGGAUAAUUUCGGGAAACCGGAGCUAAUACCGGAUAAUAUGUUGAACCGCAUGGUUCAAUAGUGAAAGACGGCUUUGCUGUCUCUUAUAGAUGAAUCCGGGCCGCAUUAGCUAGUUGGUAAGGUAACGGCCUACCAAGGCUACGAUGCGUAGCCGACCUGAGAGGGUGAUCGGCCACACUGGAACUGAGACACGGUCCAGACUCCUACGGGAGGCAGCAGUAGGGAAUCUUCCGCAAUGGGCGAAAGCCUGACGCAGCAACGCCGCGUGAGUGAUGAAGGUCUUCGGAUCGUAAAACCCUGUUAUUAGGGAAGAACAGAUGUGGAAGUAACUAUGCAUGUCUUGACGGUACCUAAUCAGAAAGCCACGGCUAACUACGUG